rnacentral:lncRNA from 1 species
GCUAGAGCUUGUCUGGUUUCACACGUUGGAUGAGUGUCAUUCUUCCAGGUGGAUGAGCUGUGUGCUCCUGGAGAGGUCCGUCUAGCAUCUACACGCAAGUGCAUUUCUCCUGAGCGAUACGACUGCUCUCCUUCUUGUGGGCCUGCAGGUGGAGGGAUCAAUGCAGAGCUGGGCAUAUGUCACUGCAAGCAGUACGUCUCUGCUGAGGAGCUCUGCGACCAGCUGUGUUUGCUGAAAGCCCCACGGAUCUCCUUGGGGUUCGGCAUCAAUAGGGAGCUGCUUCUGAGGAUGAAUGAUGGAGAGGUGAGGGAAGUGGCAAACGUUCUGGGCCCAGAUGAACAUGUGCAGAAAAGCCAGCGGGUGCAUUUGGUUCUGUUUAGUCCUGGUGGAGUGCUGGGUUUUAUUGUCUCCAGCACAGAUGUUCUGGAUGCAUUUCUCACGGGAGAUUUUUCAUCCGAUCCGUUGCUACACAAAAGUCGUCGCAUCCCGAGGACUUCCUCCAAAGAUAGCCAUACCUUGCCCCUCAUUCCUAACCCGGUGGUGUGUUUGGAAGCAGGAGACACGAUCCUUUUCCAGCUUAGCAUCAAUUCCCACAAUCGUGCGUCCAGCCAUUACCCUGUUUAUCAGAAGCAGCAUCUAUAUAACAGCAACCCAAGCUGGGAUUUUGGACCCUUCCGAAGGCUAGACCACCUCAUCCAGGAGACUCAACUCAACAUCUCCUGGUUUGCCCAUGUUUUCCUGGAGUCUGGGACAUAUGUUUUCAGGGACAGGACCAUCCAGGAACACUUUCUGAUUGUGACUGUGAAUGAAGCAAAUGUGGGCUGUGACCCCAGAAAUGUGUCCUUCCAGCCUUCUUCUGUGUUCCAGCUGGCCAGACAUGGGGUUUUGAAGCAGCAGGAUCUGAACUUAGCUCCUAACUGGGCUGCUAUCACAGUGGUUCUCUUUGUUCUGGGCUUCCUAAUUGUGAUGCUGACAACCCUGGCUAUAGUGCUUCAGCCUGCUGUGCCCGUCACUAGCCCCCUGAAGAGCUGGAAGCCGCGAUGGAGGAGCCUGGGCGAGCCACACAUCCCACCAGAGUACAUCCUCCUUAAAGACAGCCUUCAGUUCUAUCAGACGGUUGGUCCUCAUGGUUCUGGAGCAGAUACUGGCUUUGGAGAGAAAGGAGCUGAGCCUAAUGCAGAAAAGCGUUUUACUCUGAGGGUUCUGGAGGAUUUCAGCGUUCGCACCCUGUACGAUAAGCUGGAAGAUCAGAAUUUGCACCUGGCAUCUCAGCUGGCCAAGCACAGGAUGGACGUGUUGGUGUUCUACAACGGAAUCAGCCAGCAGAUGCAAAGUCUCACGGACAUGGUGCAAGCGCUGGACCCUGAAAGCCUGAAAAUCUUUGCCAGGCAAAAGAUUUGUGAUCAUAAGCCUGCAGAGAGCAGCUGGGCAGCAGCGGGCCUUGAACAAUGUGGUGAACAUUGCAGCAACAACUUCCAAGCAGGUGCUCUGUGGCAAGAGGCAACAGAAUUAAUGAAAGCUCUGGAAAUGCUGCUUGGGAACGCUCUGUACAAGAACGUAGCUGUGAAACGAGAGAUGGAGCAGAAGGUCCAAGGACAGGAUACGGUGGCAGUUGUACCCUCACCGGGCAGCCUGGACAGCGAAAUUAAAUCGGAAGUAGUGGAAGGGCAGGAUCAUGAGCUGCCUCAGCUAAGUGAGCUCUUCAGUAGGACUGAUGCUUUUUUCAGCUUCCUCAGACAUGAAGAACAUGGUUUAGAUCCGCAUUUGGCUUAUCUGACUGAGUUGGAGGUGGAGGGCCUGAUAGCAGCUUCCCCCCUCGCCAAGACCCUGUGUGACAUCAAGCAAGCUUUGGUGAAUCUGCAGCAACGUUCAGACCUUCUUAAUCCAGCCAGCAACCAUCAAACAAGCGUGGGAAGCUCAGCCCUCUUCUGA